rnacentral:rRNA from 1 species
AUUGAACGCUGGCGGCAUGCCUUACACAUGCAAGUCGAACGGUAACGGGCCUUCGGGUGCCGACGAGUGGCGAACGGGUGAGUAAUACAUCGGAACGUGCCCGAUCGUGGGGGAUAACGAGGCGAAAGCUUUGCUAAUACCGCAUACGAUCUACGGAUGAAAGCAGGGGACCGCAAGGCCUUGCGCGGACGGAGCGGCCGAUGGCGGAUUAGGUAGUUGGUGGGAUAAAAGCUUACCAAGCCGACGAUCUGUAGCUGGUCUGAGAGGAUGAUCAGCCACACUGGGACUGAGACACGGCCCAGACUCCUAAGGGAGGCAGCAGUGGGGAAUUUUGGACAAUGGGCGCAAGCCUGAUCCAGCCAUGCCGCGUGCAGGAUGAAGGCCUUCGGGUUGUAAACUGCUUUUGUACGGAACGAAAAGCCUUCUUUUAAUACAGGAGGGUCAUGACGGUACCGUAAGAAUAAGCACCGGCUAACUACGUG